rnacentral:lncRNA from 1 species
AUUCAAUAAGAUCAUGAGAAAUAAAAUCUAAAAAUACUUGAUCUGAUCAAAGUGGAUGUCGGUGUACCGUCCGACGAUCACGGAUCAAAAAUCCAUCACGAGGAUCAUUUAAAUUCAUCAUCAUUCUUCUCAAAAUUUUAGAAAUCUUAGGAGAGAGAAAUAAUCUAGAGAGAGAAUUUUACAGAUAGAAAGUAGAGAGAGAA